ACUGACGAAGGCGACUAUCAGGUCAAACUACGCAACCUGAUUCGUUUUCUGGAAGAUGGCGAUAAAGCCAAAAUCACGCUGCGUUUCCGUGGUCGUGAGAUGGCGCAUCAGCAAAUCGGCGUUGAGGUGCUUAACCGCGUCAAAGACGAUUUGAGUGAACUGGCAGUCGUUGAGUCCUUCCCUUCGAAGAUCGAAGGCCGCCAGAUGAUCAUGGUGCUCGCUCCCAAGAAGAAACAGUAGGCCAUCAAGUAAUAAUGCCGCGCAGCAUUCGUGCUGUGCGGAUGUUUAUUCGCCUGUCUGAUUCGUUUUAUUAACAAUGCGAAGUGGAUAUUUUUAAAAUGCCAA
rnacentral:misc_RNA from 1 species